rnacentral:rRNA from 1 species
GGAUGCGAUCAUACCAGCACUAAAGCACCAGAUCCCAUCAGAACUCCGAAGUUAAGCGUGCUUGGGCGAGAGUAAAACUAGGAUGGGUGACCUCCUGGGAAGUCCUCGUGUUGCAUUCC